ACACUUCUCUGACAGGGGAGGUUCCCGGCAGAGGACUGUCUACAUGCUGGCUCCUACAAUUUCUUCAAAUGUGGAGAAACUCAAUUGUAUGAUUUUUGGUAAUGAGGGACCAGGUUCAUUCUUCCUUG
rnacentral:snRNA from 14 species